GUUCAUCAGUUCUAGUACUAAGUCGCGACUGUUCAUCCCGAGUUGGGGCAAUAACAACAACAACUUGCGUUAUGUGGAACUUUUCACAUUCUCAAAUCUCCCAAGAUGCUUCACAGCCAUUGCUUCCACUAUUCAAUCACCAUAUGAUCCCGUACUGCAUGCAAACAAAACUUUUCACUGUACUUAGGUCCACGUGACAAUAAUAAAUCAAAUCAAAGACCGAAAGAGAAAGAACUUGAAGACCAAAGCUGGAAAAUGUAUGAGAAGUCCUUUUGGUGCUCUGUAAUUAUUGACAUUAGCAGCAUAACCCUCGUUCAACUGUAAACGGCUGUGUGUUUAUCACCGUAGUUCGCCUGACAGCAAAUAAACUUCCAUUGACUUUGUCUCAAGAAAGUUGAUAGUUGAUUCACAACCCAGCUCUGCUGCCAAGCCUGCUCCUGCGUGAAAAGGGGUGUAGACCACAAAAUAAGACAAUGCUGGAUGUCAAGCCAGGCUUGGUGGAUGAAUUAUUGAAUAGGAAAACUCACUGAAUAGGAAUCUAGAGCUACUCCUGAAAAGCUGUAACCUGCAAAAGGUGUUAGCCAGGAGGCUACAGAGAGAGGGAGGUACCAGCCGCCGACAUGCUGCUGGGAAUGCUUACCAUAAAACUACUGAUACACGGGGGAGAAAAAACAGCUUGUGAAUUGAGAAUGACCCGAGUCCAGGUGCUGGGCUGAGCCGAUCGGAACCACUUGGUACGAACUAAGUUCUUCAAAAAGUGUUCUCCUGGCUCCAACAUACUUUGUUGCCGUGACUCAGAUCUGAAGGUGGAUCUCUCGCUGAGUCAGCAGGAGACUCGGGUCGGACUGAACUGGAGCUCUGGGUUCAAGGGAAGACCACUAUGUUAGUGGGAGACACAAGUACAGAGAGAACGGGAGCUUGGGGCCAGAGGGAAGAUCUCUCCGUUGAGUCAGCAGGAGACUCGAGUCGGUCCGAACAGGAGCUUGGGGUUAAUCCACUAGUUAAGCCACUAGUAUACAAUGACUAAACAAUGGACUGACCUGAUUGUAUUUCUGGAGGAGCCCCGUCCAUUCUCGGGAAGUGGCUGCAAUAUGCGGAAUAUGCAGGUCACACUAGGGACAAAGGGAAGUCCGCUGGGGAAGCUCUUUGGCAGGUUGCCCAAAUGAAGAUGUUGGACAGGAAGUUUAAAGUAGUACAGAAGGUGGUUGCGAUUGGCUGUUUAAUGAAGGAAUGGAUAGAAUACCGUCAGCAAGUCAUGUUAGAGAAGGUAAAGAGGGAAGGACUAGAAGAACAGAAUAAGAGACUUCAUGAGGAGGUAGCCCACCUUAGUGAAAAGGUAACCAAAUCUGCAAGGACAGAGAAGUGAGGACUUGGUGCAUAUGAAUCAGUACCAGAUGCAGUGUGAGAAGCUGGUUAGGCAAAGGAGUAAGCAAGAGGGAGAAGUCUAAGCAGCUAAAGCUGAGGUGGAAGGAUGGAAGGAAGAAUGUAAUGAUUUAAAAGCUGCGAUAAAUGGGAUUCAGAGAGCAGCUCAAGAGAAGAGGAGUAGUGCCGCUGAUUGUACAGAAUGUCACAGACAGAUAGAGAAGCUGCAAAGUCAGCUAGCCGUGCAGAGAGGCAUAAUGUGCGCUUUCGCACCUGACAGAAGUGAGGAAGGCAGUGAAGGGGACAUAGAUUGGGACGAUUUAGCAGACAAAGCGGCUAGCUACACAGUCAUGAUAAUGGGGAGCCUCUACCAGAGGAUUCACUGCCAGCUUUUGACCCAGGGACGGACUCGUCGGCUCCAAACUGAAUGGCCCCCCUUGCAACCGCUAGAGGAGGAUUAGGGGAAGAUGGUUAAAUGGUAGAGGAUAGAAUAUUCCACCCCAUUGGGGUACAGCAGUUGAGGGACAUUGCGAAAGAUACUGGGACGUGUACGCCUGAGGAUGAUCCUAGGGAGUUGUUCCAAAUGGUCAGUCAACAAAGAGAGAUACUUGGUUUCGAUGAUGUUGAGGAAAGGAAAUCAAUUAUAAUGUGCCUACACCCACAUAUAUACUCCACCCUACCAGAGGAACAGAAAUUGGGUACAGGCACAAAUGAGACAUUAAAAGACCAAAGUAUUAAUUCUCAUCGGUGCUAACAGAAGGCACCAAGUACAGCCGCUGACAAAGUGCUAUUAAAGGAAAUGUAAACACUC